rnacentral:RNase_P_RNA from 1 species
CCAGCCGGCUGGGCGGCCGCGGCGCGCAAGCGUCGAGGAAAGUCCGGGCUCCACGGAGACACGGUGCCGGAUAACGUCCGGCGAGGGCGACCUCAGGGAAAGUGCCACAGAAAUCAAACCACCCGCGCGUGCGCGGGCCAGGGUGAAACGGUGGGGUAAGAGCCCACCGCGCGACCGGCAACGGAAGCGGCAC